rnacentral:ncRNA from 1 species
GUCCACGGAGGAUAGAGGAAGCCGUCACCACGCGGCUGAUCGAGAAAUUCUCG